CCGAGAUUUGUUUGAAGAAGGCAGGUAUUGCAGGGCUAUGAAAAACACGUUCCGGCGAAACAAUCUUUCGUCUGUUUGAAUUUCGGCGCCUUUUUCCAUUAAAAACUGGUCGAUUGGCCAAUCGGACGUGGAGAAAACGGUGGCCCAUUCGAGUAACGUGUAGCCUUGGGAGUCGACACUAUUUAACGAUUCGCUUGUCAGGUUUCCGGCAAGGUCUUCAAAGUCCUGUCUCCUUCCUUCAAUCAUAGCUUUGUAAUAAAUAAAUUUUGCGUCUUUUUCAAUCCAGUUGUAUUUAACUAAUUCCGCUGGGCUGAUGGAAUUGGUUUUCGUUCUUCUCAAUCCGAAUCGGUCGACGAUAGCACUUGUCACCGUCGACCACUUUUUCCCUCCGUAGUUUGAUUUUUCGAAUACAAAGGAUGCAAAAUUUUGACAAUUCGCAAACAGAAGAUGAUAGUCAUUAUUAAGCUGAUUGCGGAAAUAUUGAUUAUAACGUGAAGUCCUGAAAGGGUUAAAAUUAACGAAUCCAUUUAUUUUAGGUAUACUUUAAAUCAAGCUACCUUUAGUAAUUUUAUUAACUGCUAAUAAAAAAAUAAAAAAGAAAUAACUAAAAUUUAUCAGUGUCGAGCUGUCAUCUACUGGGGUAGUUAAUUUUUUAUUUAAAGGCCAAAAUACUUAUGAAUUUGAAUAAACAGCAGAAUAAAGUAAAGUGGCCAAAAAAUCGAAUUUAAGGGAAAAACUGAAAGAAUUUAUACGAAAAUUCAAUUUAAGUUGGAGAAAAAAAUAUUAAGAGAAAUGAAAGAAGAAAUAGCGCACGAAAUUAAUAAAAUGUCAGAAACUGAUCCGGGGUGACGAUCAUCGACUAUUCCCAGAACAGUUUGGGCUUUUCGUGCGCAUCUUUUUUUUAAAUUUAUCGCAUUUUUUUCAUGACGUGUGUUCAAAGUUAACCAGUAUCGAGAUUCCUUGUCUGGUGAUGAUCCGCUAAAAUUUAAAAGCCUUUUCUUUUUCAAUAAUUAGUAGGGGGCGAGUGGGUGUAUUGGAAAAGGCGUCAUUUAGGAAUAGGUGCAGUGGUGCACCACGGGACCAGGGUUCGAUCCCACAUGUGAGUAUUGUUGGUUGGUGAUACACCCGCUCUGGCGCCACUGCGGCGUCACAUGAAAGAUUAUCGGACCCCGUGACUUGUUGCUGGAGAGGGAACUCGGGAGGGUUGGCUGGGGGACGUUUUCGUCGAUAUUGGGAUCGGUCCAAUAUUCCUCAGUCAGCACAAAAGGCAAAUGAAAUGUGGAAUAAUGGGAAACUGGUGCUGUUCUGGCAGUGCAAAGUGCCCUUGUUUGCGCAGUCAUUGGGUUAAUUGCCUUGCUCCGUCGUGUUGAAUGGGAAUGUGUUGCAUAUAAGUUGGGAGCUGGCUCUAUACGGUGCUAGUCGAAUAUCCUUCAGUGAUCAUAGUGCGCAUGGCUUCCGCCCGAAACUAAUGUUGUCUGCGUCGUGCACCGCCGGGUGUAUCAUGUGGCCAACCGCUUGAGAAGUACGUGUAUGUGAGGGAGAUAUUUGUGCUAGAUUCAGACCCGUAUAUCCUUCAUUGGCUGUGGAGAGUGGCGUCCCCGGUGAGUCCACUCAACUCGAUUGUUAAAAUUGUUAUAUCAAUUAUAGAAUAUUUGGUAUUAACAAGUAGUACACACACACAGCGGCGAAUGUGCUCUCUCUCCUUGCUAUUAAAAUAUUUAAACUUUUUCUGUUUCUUUUCUGUCCAUUUAUGUCGACGUUCAAUUUUUUAUUUAAACUUUUCUGGUUUUCUCUUUCAGGUGAAAGUUCACGAUCACGCUCGAAAUGAUCAAAUCAAAAUCAUUAAAGAUUUAACGAUGAAAUCAAAAGCCGACAAGCUGGAAGAACUCUCGACGUUAAAUUUUUUUGUAUUUAAAAAACUCGCUCGUUAUUUGAUUUUAACCAAAUUGUUUAGAAUCAGAAGCUUGGUGUAUCUGGCUGCUUGGCUGGUGAAUUCCAAUUAUGGUCCAGGCACCUGGCGUCGUGAAAGUGACAACUGGACCGCUGACGUCAUCCCAUCAGUUUUAUAGCGGCACAUUUAAAUUUUAACACGUAUAGCAAAAUGAUGUCGACAACUGAGAGGAGAAUUCUUUACUUAUUGUGAAUACAGGUGGUUGCGUCCGUCACUUAUUUGCCAAAAGUGUCGUCCGACCUGAAGUCGGUGAUUGACAAAAUCGCAACUUUGGCUUGUUGCAAAACUUUGGCUGGGCAGCUAUAAUUCCCUGUCCCAAAAUAAUUGCAUCUUGGCCCGCGUAUCUGUCUGGACUCGGGGUCUGGUAGAAGCACUGGAAAAACUUAACCUUACAACAAAAGAAAAAAGGGAGUUGAAAAGCAAAACAAGAUCCUCGCUUUUGGCCAGGGCAUGCCUCGCAUAUUGCUUCCCAAUCGACAUUCUAGCAAAAUCUGUGGUGAAAGGGGGCAACCAACAAAAAUCAAAAAAUGACAGCAAAUUAGACGAAGAAAAAGUGGAUGCCAUAUGUGAAUUCGUUCAGUGUAGAUUCCCAGAUUCAGAUAGGAAGACAAUCAUCAGUAUUUUCGGAUUGAAGAUAAGAGAUCUGAAACGAAAAGCUAGUUCUGAUGAUAAAGAUAGUGUGUCAGAUCCAGAAUCUGUGGGCGAAGGCAACCGAUGAUUAAACUUGCAAAUGUUGGCAAGACUAUCACAUGCCCAGUCUGAGAAAAAUAAUGUAUUGAUACGUCGUCGCUUUCUUCAAUAAAAUAAAGUAAAAAGUUUGUAAAAUUCUUUUGAAAAGCAAAAAAUCAGGCUAUAGUAAUUAUUUCAAUAUGAGAUAUAAUCGCUAGUCAAGAUAACGCUAUUUAAAUGUUAUAUGAGCAUUAAGUAUAUAUUUUGUAGAUGUCAUUCCAAUGUCAUGUAUGAAUCGAACAAUUAUCAUAUGAACAUCAGUAAUAAUCAAAUAAAUAUCUUGGAAUAAUCACCCAAUAACAAGGGUCAAAAUCUUAUAAUUAUCACCGUCAGUAUUGAAACAGCAACUUAUCUUAACUGAUUAAAUUCAUAUUAUUUUAAUCA